UGCAAGCGUUAUCCGGAUUCACUGGGUUUAAAGGGUGCGUAGGUGGUUUGAUAAGUCAGUGGUGAAAUCCCCGAGCUUGACUUGGGAACUGCCAUUGAUACUAUUGAUCUUGAAUACCGUGGAGGUCAGCGGAAUAUGUCAUGUAGCGGUGAAAUGCUUAGAUAUGACAUAGAACACCAAUUGCGAAGGCAGCUGGCUACGCGAAUAUUGACACUGAUGCACGAAAGCGUGGGGAUCAAACAGG
rnacentral:rRNA from 1 species